AGAGUUUGAUCCUGGCUCAGAACGAGCGUUGGCGGCGUGGAUUAGGCAUGCAAGUCGAACGAGAACCAGCUUUGUAGCAAUACCGAGCUGGGGAUAGUGGCGAAAGGGGCAGUAAUGCGUGGGUAACGUACCCCGGGGAUGGGAACACAGAGGUAACACUCGUAAAUCCCCAGCGAUUCGGCGGAGGGGCAUCUCUCUGCCGGGAAAUGAAUUUCGCCUCGGGAGCGGCUCACGUCGUAUUAGCUUGUUGGCGGGGUAACGGCCCACCAAGGCUAAGAUGCGUAGCGGGUGUGAGAGCACGACCCGCGCCACUGGCACUGAGACACUGGCCAGACACCUACGGGUGGCUGCAGUCGAGGAUCUUCGGCAAUGGGCGCAAGCCUGACCGAGCGACGCCGCGUGUGCGAAGAAGGCCUUCGGGUUGUAAAGCACUGUCGAGGGGGAGGAAAGCCGCAAGGUCUGACCUAUCCCUGGAGGAAGCACGGGCUAAGUUCGUGCCAGCAGCCGCGGUAAGACGAACCGUGCGAACGUUGUUCGGAUUCACUGGGCUUAAAGGGCGCGUAGGCGGGCAAGCAAGUCCGGGGUGAAAUCUUUCGGCUUAACCGGAAAAGUGCCUCGGAUACUGCUUGUCUAGAGGGAGAUAGGGGUUGCGGGAACUUCCGGUGGAGCGGUGAAAUGCGUUGAUAUCGGAAGGAACGCCGGUGGCGAAAGCGCGCAACUGGACCUCUUCCGACGCUGAGGCGCGAAAGCUAGGGGAGCAAACGGGAUUAGAUACCCCGGUAGUCCUAGCCCUAAACGAUGGGUACUAGAUAGUAGGCUUAUCAUGGGCUUACUGUCGAAGCAAAAGUGCUAAGUACCCCGCCUGGGGAGUAUGGUCGCAAGGCUGAAACUCAAAGGAAUUGACGGGGGCUCACACAAGCGGUGGAGCAUGUGGCUCAAUUCGAGGCUACGCGAAGAACCUUAUCCUGGGCUUGACAUGUCCGAAAGGGGUAGGAAGUAGGGGACGGAAACGCACCCCCAACGGUAUCCAGUCCGGAACCUACCACAGGUGCUGCAUGGCUGUCGUCGGCUCGUGUCGUGAGAUGUCGGGUUAAGUCCCAUAACGAGCGAAACCCUUGCCUCCAGUUGCCAUUAUUCAGUUAGGGACUCUGGAGGGACUGCCGGCGUCAAGCCGGAGGAAGGUGGGGAUGACGUCAAGUCCUCAUGGCCUUUAUGCCCAGGGCUGCACACGUGCCACAAUGGUGCGAACAAAGGGAUGCCAACUCGCGAGAGGGAGCCAAUCCCAAAAAACGCACCCCAGUUCAGAUCGAAGGCUGCAACUCGCCUUCGUGAAGUUGGAAUCGCUAGUAAUCGCGGGUCAGCAACACCGCGGUGAAUGUGUUCCUGAGCCUUGUACACACCGCCCGUCAAGCCACGAAAGAUCGGGGCAUCCGAAGCCAUCUUUACCGAUGUCGAAGAUGAAACGGUCGAUUGGGACUAAGUCGUAACAAGGUAACCGU
rnacentral:rRNA from 1 species